rnacentral:rRNA from 1 species
UACGUAGGGGGCUAGCGUUGUCCGGAAUCAUUGGGCGUAAAGCGCGCGUAGGCGGCCAGAUAAGUCCGGUGUGAAAGUCACAGGCUCAACCUGUGAAUGCCGCUGGAAACUGUCUGGCUUGAGUCCGGAAGGGGCGAGUGGAAUUCCUGGUGUAGCGGUGAAAUGCGCAGAUAUCAGGAGGAACACCAAUAGCGAAGGCAGCUCGCUGGGACGGUACUGACGCUAAGGCGCGAAAGCGUGGGGAGCGAACAGG